UAGUGACAAUCACACGUGUUGUUCGAAUUUCAACAAAACUGUAUAAAUACCCAGAUAUUUGGUUAUCAGUACAUUGUUCAAGAAUAAGCGUUCACGUCAUUGACUUAAGACAACCAUGAACACCAAACUGUUCGCAACACUUCUGAUGGUGGGUCUUAUGGUAUCUACUGUGAAAGCAGUCACCUGUAAAGUCGGAUGUCAAAACUCGCGCAGAAUCUGCCAGGCCGGAUGUAAGGCCAGACCCCUUAAUUUUGUAGAGAGACGGGAAUGCAGCAAUAGAUGCGAGACAACUUUCGUCAUCUGCAAGAAAGGUUGCGACAGAAACAAGCCAACUCCUUUUAAUAAUUAGACUACGAAUUGCUAAGGACAGAAGGAAUUUUUUUAAUAAAAUUUCUGUCAUAUA